rnacentral:rRNA from 1 species
GGUAAUACGUAGGGUGCGAGCGUUGUCCGGAAUUACUGGGCGUAAAGAGCUCGUAGGUGGUUUGUUGCGUCGUCUGUGAAAUUCCGGGGCUUAACUCCGGGCGUGCAGGCGAUACGGGCAUAACUUGAGCACUGUAGGGGAGACUGGAAUUCCUGGUGUAGCGGUGAAAUGCGCAGACCUCAGGAGGAACACCGGUGGCGAAGGCGGGUCUCUGGGCAGUAACUGACGCUGAGGAGCGAAAGCAUGGGGAGCAAACAGGAUUAGAUACCCUGGUAAUCCAUGCCGUAAACGGUGGGCGCUAGGUGUGGGUUUCCUUCCACGGGAUCCGUGCCGUAGCUAACGCAUUAAGCGCCCCGCCUGGGGAGUACGGCCGCAAGGCUAAAACUCAAAGGAAUUGACGGGGGCCCGCACAAGCGGCGGAGCAUGUGGAUUAAUUCGAUGCAACGCGAAGAACCUUACCUGGGCUUGACAUAUACAAGAUCGCGCCAGAGAUGGUGUUUCCCUUGUGGUUUGUAUACAGGUGGUGCAUGGUUGUCGUCAGCUCGUGUCGUGAGAUGUUGGGUUAAGUCCCGCAACGAGCGCAACCCUUGUCUUAUGUUGCCAGCACGUUAUGGUGGGGACUCGUAAGAGACUGCCGGGGUUAACUCGGAGGAAGGUGGGGAUGACGUCAAAUCAUCAUGCCCCUUAUGUCCAGGGCUUCACACAUGCUACAAUGGUCGGUACAGUGGGUUGCGAGAUCGUGAGGUUGAGCUAAUCCCUUAAAGCCGGUCUCAGUUCGGAUCGGGGUCUGCAACUCGACCCCGUGAAGUCGGAGUCGCUAGUAAUCGCAGAUCAGCAACGCUGCGGUGGAUACGUUCCCGGGCCUUGUACACACCGCCCGUCACGUCAUGAAAGUUGGUAACACCCGAAGC